UACGGGGGGGGCGAGCGUUGUUCGGAAUUACUGGGCGUAAAGGGUUCGUAGGUGGCCUGCUAAGUCAGACGUGAAAUCCCUCAGCUUAACUGGGGAACUGCGUCUGAAACUGGCGGGCUUGAAUCCGGGAGAGGGAUGCGGAAUUCCAGGUGUAGCGGUGAAAUGCGUAGAUAUCUGGAGGAACACCGGUGGCGAAGGCGGCAUCCUGGACCGGUAUUGACACUGAGGAGCGAAAGCCAGGGGAGCAAACGGG
rnacentral:rRNA from 1 species